UACGAAGGGGGCUAGCGUUGUUCGGAAUCACUGGGCGUAAAGGGCGCGUAGGCGGCCGAUCAAGUCGGGGGUGAAAGCCUGUGGCUUAACCACAGAAUGGCCUCGAUACUGUUUGGCUUGAGACCGGAAGAGGUUAGUGGAACUGCGAGUGUAGAGGUGAAAUUCGUAGAUAUUCGCAAGAACACCAGUGGCGAAGGCGGCUGACUGGUCCGGUUCUGACGCUGAGGCGCGAAAGCGUGGGGAGCAAACAGG
rnacentral:rRNA from 1 species